AGAGUUUGAUCAUGGCUCAGAUUGAACGCUGGCGGCAGGCCUAACACAUGCAAGUCGAGCGGUAGCACAGAGAGCUUGCUCUCGGGUGACGAGCGGCGGACGGGUGAGUAAUGUCUGGGAAACUGCCUGAUGGAGGGGGAUAACUACUGGAAACGGUAGCUAAUACCGCAUAACGUCGCAAGACCAAAGUGGGGGACCUUCGGGCCUCAUGCCAUCAGAUGUGCCCAGAUGGGAUUAGCUAGUAGGUGGGGUAACGGCUCACCUAGGCGACGAUCCCUAGCUGGUCUGAGAGGAUGACCAGCCACACUGGAACUGAGACACGGUCCAGACUCCUACGGGAGGCAGCAGUGGGGAAUAUUGCACAAUGGGCGCAAGCCUGAUGCAGCCAUGCCGCGUGUGUGAAGAAGGCCUUCGGGUUGUAAAGCACUUUCAGCGGGGAGGAAGGCGNUCGAUUGACGUUACCCGCAGAAGAAGCACCGGCUAACUCCGUGCCAGCAGCCGCGGUAAUACGGAGGGUGCAAGCGUUAAUCGGAAUUACUGGGCGUAAAGCGCACGCAGGCGGUCUGUCAAGUCGGAUGUGAAAUCCCCGGGCUCAACCUGGGAACUGCAUUCGAAACUGGCAGGCUAGAGUCUUGUAGAGGGGGGUAGAAUUCCAGGUGUAGCGGUGAAAUGCGUAGAGAUCUGGAGGAAUACCGGUGGCGAAGGCGGCCCCCUGGACAAAGACUGACGCUCAGGUGCGAAAGCGUGGGGAGCAAACAGGAUUAGAUACCCUGGUAGUCCACGCCGUAAACGAUGUCGAUUUGGAGGUUGUGCCCUUGAGGCGUGGCUUCCGGAGCUAACGCGUUAAAUCGACCGCCUGGGGAGUACGGCCGCAAGGUUAAAACUCAAAUGAAUUGACGGGGGCCCGCACAAGCGGUGGAGCAUGUGGUUUAAUUCGAUGCAACGCGAAGAACCUUACCUGGUCUUGACAUCCACAGAACUUNUUGGUGCCUUCGGGAACUGUGAGACAGGUGCUGCAUGGCUGUCGUCAGCUCGUGUUGUGAAAUGUUGGGUUAAGUCCCGCAACGAGCGCAACCCUUAUCCUUUGUUGCCAGCGGUUAGGCCGGGAACUCAAAGGAGACUGCCAGUGAUAAACUGGAGGAAGGUGGGGAUGACGUCAAGUCAUCAUGGCCCUUACGACCAGGGCUACACACGUGCUACAAUGGCAUAUACAAAGAGAAGCGACCUCGCGAGAGCAAGCGGACCUCAUAAAGUAUGUCGUAGUCCGGAUUGGAGUCUGCAACUCGACUCCAUGAAGUCGGAAUCGCUAGUAAUCGUAGAUCAGAAUGCUACGGUGAAUACGUUCCCGGGCCUUGUACACACCGCCCGUCACACCAUGGGAGUGGGUUGCAAAAGAAGUAGGUAGCUUAACCUUCGGGAGGGCGCUUACCACUUUGUGAUUCAUGACUGGGGUGAAGUCGUAACAAGGUAACCGUAGGGGAACCUGCGGUUGGAUCACCU
rnacentral:rRNA from 1 species